rnacentral:rRNA from 1 species
AUUGAACGCUGGCGGCAGGCCUAACACAUGCAAGUCGAGCGAGCGGCGGACGGGUGAGAAAUAUCUGGGACACUGCCUGAUGGAGGGGGAUAACUACUGGAAACGGUAGCUCAUACCGCAUAACAUCCGAUGUGCCCAGAUGGGCUUAGCUAGUCGGUGGGGUAACGGCUAACCUAGGCGACGAUCCCUAGCUGGUCGGAUAGGAUGACCAGCCACAGUGUAAUGGAGACACGGUCCAGAAUCCGACGGGAGGCAGCAGUGGGGAAUAUUGCACAAUGGGCGAAAGCCUGAUGCAGCCAUGCCGCGUGUAUGAAGAAGGCCUUUGGGUUGUAAAGUACUUUCAGCGGGGAGGCGUUACCCGCAGAAGAAGCACCGGCUAACUCCGUGCCAGCAGCCGCGGUAAUUC